rnacentral:rRNA from 1 species
GACGAACGCUGGCGGCGUGCUUAACACAUGCAAGUCGAACGCUGAAGCACCAGCUUGCUGGUGUGGAUGAGUGGCGAACGGGUGAGUAAUACGUGAGUAACCUGCCCUUGACUCUGGGAUAAGCCCGGGAAACUGGGUCUAAUACUGGAUGCUACAUGUCACCGCAUGGUGGUGUGUGGAAAGGGUUUACUGGUCUUGGAUGGGCUCACGGCCUAUCAGCUUGUUGGUGAGGUAAUGGCUCACCAAGGCGACGACGGGUAGCCGGCCUGAGAGGGUGACCGGCCACACUGGGACUGAGACACGGCCCAGACUCCUACGGGAGGCAGCAGUGGGGAAUAUUGCACAAUGGGCGAAAGCCGGAUGCAGCGACGCCGCGUGAGGGAGGACGGCCUUCGGGUUGGAAACCUCUUUCAGCAGGGAAGAAGCCACAAGUGACGGUACCUGCAGAAGAAGCGCCGGCUAACUACGUG